rnacentral:rRNA from 1 species
UACGUAGGGUGCAAGCGUUAAUCGGAAUUACUGGGCGUAAAGCGUGCGCAGGCGGUUUUUUAAGUCAGAUGUGAAAUCCCCGGGCUUAACCUGGGAACUGCGUUUGAAACUACAAGGCUAGAGUGUGGCAGAGGGGGGUGGAAUUCCACGUGUAGCAGUGAAAUGCGUAGAGAUGUGGAGGAACACCGAUGGCGAAGGCAGCCCCCUGGGUUAACACUGACGCUGAAGCACGAAAGCGUGGGGAGCAAACAGG